AUUAGUCCUGAUGGUCUCAGGUCUCAUUAGUCCUGAUGGUCUCAGGUCUCAGUGGUCCUGAUGGUCUCAGGUCUCAGUGGUCCUGAUGGUCUCAGGUCUCAUUGGUCCUGAUGGUCUCAGGUCUCAGUGGUCCUGAUGGUCUCAGGUCUCAUUAGUCCUGAUGGUCUCAGGUCUCAGUAGUCCUGAUGGUCUCAGGUCUCAGUGGUCCUGAUGGUCUCAGGUCUCAGUAGUCCUGAUGGUCUCAGGUCUCAUUAGUCCUGAUGGUCUCAGGUCUCAGUAGUCCUGAUGGUCUCAGGUCUCAUUAGUCCUGAUGGUCUCAGGUCUCAUUAGUCCUGAUGGUCUCAGGUCUCAGUAGUCCUGAUGGUCUCAGGUCUCAUUAGUCCUGAUGGUCUCAGGUCUCAGUGGUCCUGAUGGUCUCAGGUCUCAUUAGUCCUGAUGGUCUCAGGUCUCAGUGGUCCUGAUGGUCUCAGGUCUCAUUGGUCCUGAUGGUCUCAGGUCUCAGUAGUCCUGAUGGUCUCAGGUCUCAUUAGUCCUGAUGGUCUCAGGUCUCAGUAGUCCUGAUGGUCUCAGGUCUCAUUAGUCCUGAUGGUCUCAGGUCUCAGUAGUCCUGAUGGUCUCAGGUCUCAUUAGUCCUGAUGGUCUCAGGUCUCAGUGGUCCUGAUGGUCUCAGGUCUCAGUGGUCCUGAUGGUCUCAGGUCUCAGUAGUCCUGAUGGUCUCAGGUCUCAUUAGGUCCUGAUGGUCUCAGGUCUCAGUAGUCCUGAUGGUCUCAGGUCUCAUUAGUCCUGAUGGUCUCAGGUCUCAGUAGUCCUGAUGGUCUCAGGUCUCAGUAGUCCUGAUGGUCUCAGGUCUCAUUAGUCCUGAUGGUCUCAGGUCUCAGUGGUCCUGAUGGUCUCAGGUCUCAGUAGUCCUGAUGGUCUCAGGUCUCAUUAGUCCUGAUGGUCUCAGGUCUCAUUGGUCCUGAUGGUCUCAGGUCUCAGUGGUCCUGAUGGUCUCAGGUCUCAGUAGUCCUGAUGGUCUCAGGUCUCAUUGGUCCUGAUGGUCUCAGGUCUCAGUCGUCCUGAUGGUCUCAGGUUUCAGUAGUCCUGAUGGUCUCAGGUCUCAUUGGUCCUGAUGGUCUCAGGUCUCAGUAGUCCUGAUGGUCUCAGGUCUCAUUGGUCCUGAUGGUCUCAGGUCUCAGUAGUCCUGAUGGUCUCAGGUCUCAUUAGUCCUGAUGGUCUCAGGUCUCAGUGGUCCUGAUGGUCUCAGGUCUCAUUGGUCCUGAUGGUCUCAGGUCUCAGUAGUCCUGAUGGUCUCAGGUCUCAUUAGUCCUGAUGGUCUCAGGUCUCAGUAGUCCUGAUGGUCUCUGAUCCUGGACUCUGUUAACCCCUUAUUUCCAGGUUGGGGGUGUUACAGCUUUGGAGACGGACUGAACCAACCUGGACCAGAGAGGAGGACAGAGACCAGCAGGUUUACAG